AUUGAACGCUGGCGGCAUGCCUUACACAUGCAAGUCGAACGGUAACGGGCCUUCGGGUGCCGACGAGUGGCGAACGGGUGCGUAAUACAUCGGAACGUGCCCGAUCGUGGGGGAUAACGAGGCGAAAGCUUUGCUAAUACCGCAUACGAUCUACGGAUGAAAGCAGGGGGCCGCAAGGCCUUGCGCGGACGGUGCGGCCGAUGGCAGAUUAGGUAGUUGGUGGGAUAAAAGCUUACCAAGCCGACGAUCUGUAGCUGGUCUGAGAGGAUGAUCAGCCACACUGGGACUGAGACACGGCCCAGACUCCUACGGGAGGCAGCAGUGGGGAAUUUUGGACAAAGGGCGCAAGCCUGAUCCAGCCAUGCCGCGUGCAGGAUGAAGGCCUUCGGGUUGUAAACUGCUUUUGUACGGAACGAAAAGCCUUCUUUUAAUACAGGAGGGUCAUGACGGUACCGUAAGAAUAAGCACCGGCUAACUACGUG
rnacentral:rRNA from 1 species